UGACAAAGUUCUUAAUAAGUAGAUACUAAAA
rnacentral:piRNA from 1 species